rnacentral:rRNA from 1 species
UACGUAGGGCGCAAGCGUUGUCCGGAAUUAUUGGGCGUAAAGAGCUCGUAGGCGGCUCGGUAAGUCGGGUGUGAAACCCCCAGGCUCAACCUGGGGACGCCACCCGAUACUGCUGUGGCUAGAGUCCAGUAGGGGAGUGUGGAAUUCCCGGUGUAGCGGUGAAAUGCGCAGAUAUCGGGAGGAACACCAGCGGCGAAGGCGGCACUCUGGGCUGGAACUGACGCUGAGGAGCGAAAGCGUGGGGAGCGAACAGG